UACGUAGGGUGCGAGCGUUGUCCGGAAUUAUUGGGCGUAAAGAGCUCGUAGGCGGUUUGUCGCGUCUGCUGUGAAAACUCGGGGCUUAACCCCGGGCCUGCAGUGGGUACGGGGCAGACUAGAGUGCUGUAGGGGAGACUGGAAUUCCUGGUGUAGCGGUGAAAUGCGCAGAUAUCAGGAGGAACACCUGCAGCGAAGGCGGGUUGCUGGGCCGACACUGACGCUGAGGCGCGAAAGCCAGGGGAGCGAACGGG
rnacentral:rRNA from 1 species